CCAAUUUAAAAAUGUACCAUUUUUGGAACCUGUCAUAUACUCUCUGGUAAGGCAUGCUAUUUAUCAUCUUACGAGGCCCAUUUUUCUUGGACAUAUGUGAAAAAAUCUGUACAGCUCAUGUACAGGAUCCCAAAAGCUGUAACUGGGAGCAUAACGUAAGCCCAAAGUGCUCAAUUUUAAAUGCACCUUGCUUUUCUACAGCAUUUGGCUGCCUGGAUCUCAGAGUGCUUUCAAAUUUGAAUGAGCUUGAACUGAUGGAGAUACAAAUUAGGCUAUUGCAGCACACACAUUUCAAAUGAGGGAGGCCUAUUCUGAUGGAAACAUCUGGUUUCAUUACACCAGUGUUCGUCAGAAUUGCCCCAGAUUAGGAUUGCUGUUGGCCAGCAUGAGAACCUGGAACCUCUGCAUGAGAAGUGCGUUGAGAGCAUUUCGGAUCAAACCCUUGCUGCCCAAAGAAGCAAGCACUGAGCUGCCAUUUAAAAGUGAGUUCAAGUCUUUUAUUGUUUUAGAUCCAAUGAUAAUAAAGACAAAUGCAUUGGAUUAAUAAUGCUCCUACCUUGAAAUUUAAUUUAAAAUCCCUUGUAAUGUAAUCACAUUUGGGUGUGCCAUUACCCAGAUGGAGAGAAAUUUGUUUUGUUGAGAAAUUACUUUAGCAUAAGAAUGACUUGAGUUUAUUAACAGGGAAAAACAUGACUCCCCUCCCCAACCACUCCCCAUGCAUUCCAAAAAUAAGAAACUCAUUUCAACAUGGACAUUACUGGUUAAAAAAUAAUUACACAUAAUGAAAUGUCAUAUUUCACACAUACUCCCUGCAAACCACGCUUCUUAGUCUUCCCCAAAACACUGCAGGGUGUAACCAGCUCUUUCUUCCUCCUUCAUGAAAAGAAUAUUUCACAAUGGAAUUGUGUGAUGACAAAAAAAAAUGAUGCUGGAAAAGCAUCACUACCCAGAGAGACAUAAGGAAUUGCCACAGGCCACUGCAUAUAAUCCCACACAAUAUUAAGUAGUCAUUGUAUCUCUUUCCAAGGCUUCAUUCUUCUUUUGUGACCUACAGCCUCAAUGAGAGUUUUUACAGAAAUAGAGAGCCAUGGAACAACAAAUUUGGGAACCGUGUCAUUUGACAAAAAAUGUUUGGCUUAGAAUGUUAUUCUUUUUUAAUGUAUCUUUCAGCUGCUGUCAUUAAAAUUGUUAAAUAACAUUAGAAACGUGUUUUGUCAAUUACCUUGGGGACAAGUAUAAAAUAUUGGGCUGUUAAAUGCACGCCACAAAAAAAAAAAAAUAAAACUGCACAGAGCAAAUGCUGCA
rnacentral:lncRNA from 1 species